AGAGUGGCUGUGCCCUGUGGUGGGGCAGGGACAAGCAAGGGAGCGGAAGUGGCUGCAUCCCUUGUGAGCUCCUCCCCAAGCUUGGCCGGGCCAGGGAGCCGCCUGAGGCCAGCCGAGGGUGAGCCAGACCUCAAGCAGAUAGCCUGCAGCUCAACGGCUCCAGGGAUCUCCUCCCUCCACCCAGGGGUUCCCCCAGACCAGCUGCUGGUUGCUGUGGACCACCCCCUGUGCCACCUCCAGCAGUUCCGCCCUGCACUCUGUCUGCUCCAGGAGAAAAUCAACACCAGCCAGGACCCUCCUCUUUCCAGGCCCGGGGCCAGCACCCCAUGGUCCCCCUCGGAAGCCACCCACUACUCAGGAAACGACCUGCUGUCCCCCAUCCCAGGUGAGAAUGCCCCCACUGACCUGCAGCAGCCCUGGGGCCCUGGAGGGCUUGAGGCUGGAGCCCCGGUGAACGGAUCCAGGCCGGGGUGUCCAAGUUGGGGCUUCACGUCCACUCUGAGGAGGGCCAGGCUGGCCACAGGCAUUGACUGACCUCUCGGAAGCCUCACUGACAUGACAGCAAGGAGUCCGCUGUGUGUGGUGGUCUGGAGCAUGGGGCAUUGAACCCAGGACCUCUGCACUGACUGAGCUACAUCCCUAGCCCUUUUAAUUUUUUAUUUUGUGACAGGACCUGGCUAAGAAACUGAGCUGCCCAGGCUGGGCUCAAACUUGCCGUCCUCCUGCCUGAGCCUCCCAGUGUCCUGGGAUUGCAGACACGUGCACCAUGCCCAGGUAUUUUCUUGCUUUCUUUAAU
rnacentral:lncRNA from 1 species